rnacentral:rRNA from 1 species
AUUGAACGCUGGCGGCAUGCCUUACACAUGCAAGUCGAACGGCAGCACGGGUGCUUGCACCUGGUGGCGAGUGGCGAACGGGUGAGUAAAGUAUCGGAACGUGCCUGGUAGUGGGGGAUAACUAGUCGAAAGACUAGCUAAUACCGCAUACGAUCUAAGGAUGAAAGCAGGGGACCUUCGGGCCUUGUGCUAUCAGAGCGGCCGAUAUCUGAUUAGCUAGUUGGUGGGGUAAAGCCCACCAAGGCGACGAUCAGUAGCUGGUCUGAGAGGACGACCAGCCACACUGGAACUGAGACACGGUCCAGACUCCUACGGGAGGCAAGCAGUGGGGAAUUUUGGACAAUGGGGGCGAACCCUGAUCCAGCAAUGCCGCGUGAGUGAAGAAGGCCCUCGGGUUGUAAAGCUCUUUUGUCAGGGAAGAAAAGGCUGUGGCUAAUAUCCACAGCUGCUGACGGUACCUGAAGAAUAAGCACCGGCUAACUACGUG